rnacentral:rRNA from 1 species
GUUCCCUACGGGGGGCAGCAGUGAGGGAUAUUGGUCAAUGGGGGAAACCCUGAACCAGCAACGCCGCGUGAGGGAAGACGGUUUUCGGAUUGUAAACCUCUGUCCUCUGUGAAGAUAAUGACGGUAGCAGAGGAGGAAGCUCCGGCUAACUACGUGCCAGCAGCCGCGGUAAUACGUAGGGAGCGAGCGUUGUCCGGAUUUACUGGGUGUAAAGGGAGCGUAGACGGCAGCGCAAGCCUGGAGUGAAAGGAUGGGGCUCAACCCCAUGACUGCUCUGGGAACUGCGCAGCUAGAGUGCCGGAGGG